UGCGUCCCUCGGCAUGGAGAACGCGCGCCCGGUCGGGCCGCGGGCGGGAAAGUGGGGUGUGCUUCUUGGCCGCCGGCACCAGCAAGAAAAGGGGGAGCACUGUCUGCUAGAACUAGAAGAAACCAAACCACCAGACGGAGGCGGAAGCCGCCGCAGUGAGUGGACUGCUCUGCUCUGCCGGGCCCUUCCAGAAGGAAGGGCACUACUCCGAUCAAAUAUCAAAGAACCCUACUACCCAGCAAGGAUAUAACAGAGACUUUGACCAUCCUCCCUUGGAAAUGAAAAAAAUCCUUGACCUUCUCAAGAAAAUUCGUAGAAAUGGAGCAACUGAUGACCUGGUUGAUUAUUAGGGUGUUGGGACUCAUGUGGAGAUUUGGAAUCCUUUGGGACUUGGGAAACCUUUGGAGCCUGGGAAUUAUGUGGGUCUUUAGUCAAUAUAUGGUCUGCAAUCUGAAGACAAUGGCAGUGGUGUAGCUGUGGCAAUGUUUUAUUCAAUGGGGAGCCUGGAGAUCAUGCCCUGGAGAAGGCUGACAAGUGUGGCCAGACCCAGCACCAGCAUCUAGGGCAAGUUUGAUUAGUUGUCUUUACUGCUACAGCUGAACUUGCCUGGAAGAAAUAGAGCUUCCAAGUAAUCUAAGCAGGAGGAGGCAAGGAGCUGAUUUGGCUGCAUAGUUGUACAAAGCGUAUUGAUUUGCACUGAAGAAUGUUUCUUUCUCUAGUGCUUUUCCUUGAAUGAAUCUUGCUUCCUUUUCCCUUAUUCUUCUCUGUAAAACAAGGAAUGCCUGAAUAAAUUGCUUUUAUUGGA